rnacentral:rRNA from 1 species
CCUACGGGAGGCAGCAGUGGGGAAUUUUGGACAAUGGGCGCAAGCCUGAUCCAGCAAUGCCGCGUGCAGGAUGAAGGCCUUCGGGUUGUAAACUGCUUUUGUACGGAACGAAAAAGCUCUCUCUAAUACAGGGGGUGAAUGACGGUACCGUAAGAAUAAGCACCGGCUAACUACGUGCCAGCAGCCGCGGUAAUACGUAGGGUGCAAGCGUUAAUCGGAAUUACUGGGCGUAAAGCGUGCGCAGGCGGUUUUGUAAGACAGAGGUGAAAUCCCCGGGCUCAACCUGGGAACUGCCUUUGUGACUGCAAAGCUGGAGUGCGGCAGAGGGGGAUGGAAUUCCGCGUGUAGCAGUGAAAUGCGUAGAUAUGCGGAGGAACACCGAUGGCGAAGGCAAUCCCCUGGGCCUGCACUGACGCUCAUGCACGAAAGCGUGGGGAGCAAACAGGACUAGAUACCCUGGUAGUCCACGCCCUAAACGAUGUCAACUGGUUGUUGGGAAUUCACUUUCUCAGUAACGAAGCUAACGCGUGAAGUUGACCGCCUGGGGAGUACGGCCGCAAGGUUAAAACUCAAAGGAAUUGACGGGG